rnacentral:rRNA from 1 species
UACGUAGGGGGCUAGCGUUGUCCGGAAUCAUUGGGCGUAAAGAGCGUGUAGGCGGCUCGGUAAGUCCGCUGUAAAAGUCAAAGGCUCAACCUUUGAAUGUCAGUGGAUACUGCCGGGCUAGAGUCCGGAAGAGGCGAGUGGAACUCCUGGUGUAGCGGUGGAAUGCGCAGAUAUCAGGAAGAACACCAACGGCGAAGGCAGCUCGCUGGGACGGUACUGACGCUGAGACGCGAAAGCUAGGGGAGCAAACGGG